CUACGGGCCGCAGCAGUGAGGAAUAUUGCACAAUGGGGGGAACCCUGAUGCAGCAACGCCGCGUGGAGGAUGACGCAUUUCGGUGUGUAAACUCCUUUUAUAUGUCAAGAAAAUGACGGUAGCAUAUGAAUAAGCACCGGCUAACUCCGUGCCAGCAGCCGCGGUAAUACGGAGGGUGCAAGCGUUACUCGGAAUCACUGGGCAUAAAGGACGCGUAGGCGGGUUGGAAAGUCAGGUGUGAAAUCCUACAGCUUAACUGUAGAACUGCACUUGAAACUUCUAAUCUAGAGUAUGGGAGGGGGAGAUGGAAUUAGUGGUGUAGGGGUAAAAUCCGUAGAUAUCACUAGGAAUACCUAAAGCGAAGGCGAUCUCCUGGAACAUUACUGACGCUAAGGCGUGAAAGCGUGGGGAGCAAACAGGAUUAGAUACCCUAGUAGUC
rnacentral:rRNA from 1 species